UUUCUUGUCGUUAUUUUAAAAGGUGUCCAGGGUGAGGUGCAGCUGGUGGAAUCUGGGGGAGACCUGGUGAAGCCUGGGGGAUCCCUGAGACUCUCCUGUGUGGCCUCUGGAUUCACCUUCAGUAGCUACUAUAUGGAAUGGGUCCGCCAGGCUCCAGGGAAGGGGCUGCAGUGGGUCGCACGGAUUAGCAGUGAUGGAAGUAGCACAUACUACCCAGACGCUGUGAAGGGCGGAUUCACCAUCUCCAGAGACAAUGCCAAGAACACGCUGUAUCUGCAGAUGAACAGCCUGAGAGCCAAGGACAUGGCCGUGUAUUACUGUGCGAAGGACACAAUCCACUUCCUCAUGAUACUAUCUUCUGACUGGGCUUACUUAAAGGAUGCAAGCAAAAUGCAGGCUUACCAGGAUAUCAAAGCAAAGGAAGAACAGGAACUGAAAGAUAUCCAGUCUAGGUGA